rnacentral:rRNA from 1 species
GACGAACGCUGGCGGCGUGCUUAACACAUGCAAGUCGAACGGAAAGGCCCUGCUUUUGUGGGGUGCUCGAGUGGCGAACGGGUGAGUAACACGUGAGUAACCUGCCCUUGACUUUGGGAUAACUUCAGGAAACUGGGGCUAAUACCGGAUAGGAGCUCCUGCUGCAUGGUGGGGGUUGGAAAGUUUCGGCGGUUGGGGAUGGACUCGCGGCUUAUCAGCUUGUUGGUGGGGUGGUGGCUUACCAAGGCUUUGACGGGUAGCCGGCCUGAGAGGGUGACCGGCCACAUUGGGACUGAGAUACGGCCCAGACUCCUACGGGAGGCAGCAGUGGGGAAUAUUGCACAAUGGGCGGAAGCCUGAUGCAGCAACGCCGCGUGCGGGAUGACGGCCUUCGGGUUGUAAACCACUUUCGCCUGUGACGAAGCGUGAGUGACGGUAAUGGGUAAAGAAGCACCGGCUAACUACGUG